UACAGAGGGUGCGAGCGUUGUUCGGAAUUACUGGGCGUAAAGCGCGCGCAGGCGGCCUUUUAAGUCUACCCGUGAAAUGCCGGAGCUCAACUCCGUGCACGCCGGGGGAUACUGGGAGGCUGGAGACAGGUAGAGGCAAGCGGAAUUCCGGGUGUAGCGGUGGAAUGCGUAGAUAUCCGGAAGAACACCUGAGGCGAAGGCGGCUUGCUGGGCCUGAUCUGACGCUGAGGCGCGAAAGCUAGGGGAGCAAACGGG
rnacentral:rRNA from 1 species